CCUACGGGAGGCAGCAGUGGGGAAUUUUGGACAAUGGGCGCAAGCCUGAUCCAGCAAUGCCGCGUGAGUGAAGAAGGCCUUCGGGUUGUAAAGCUCUUUUGUCAGGGAAGAAACGGCUGAGGCUAAUAUCCUCGGCUAAUGACGGUACCUGAAGAAUAAGCACCGGCUAACUACGUGCCAGCAGCCGCGGUAAUACGUAGGGUGCAAGCGUUAAUCGGAAUUACUGGGCGUAAAGCGUGCGCAGGCGGUUUUGUAAGUCUGUCGUGAAAGCCCCGGGCUUAACCUGGGAAUUGCGAUGGAGACUGCAAGGCUUGAAUCUGGCAGAGGGGGGUAGAAUUCCACGUGUAGCAGUGAAAUGCGUAGAGAUGUGGAGGAACACCGAUGGCGAAGGCAGCCCCCUGGGUCAAGAUUGACGCUCAUGCACGAAAGCGUGGGGAGCAAACAGGAUUAGAUACCCUGGUAGUCCACGCCCUAAACGAUGUCUACUAGUUGUCGGGUCUUAAUUGACUUGGUAACGCAGCUAACGCGUGAAGUAGACCGCCUGGGGAGUACGGUCGCAAGNUUAAAACGCGAAAGGAAUUGACGG
rnacentral:rRNA from 1 species